rnacentral:tRNA from 1 species
AGCGAUGUGGCGCAGCGGAAGCGUGUUGGGCUCAUAACUCAAAGGUCGAAGGAUCGAAACCUUCCAUCGCUA